CCUGCGGAAGGAUCAUUACCGAGUGAGGGUCCCUCGGGGCCCAACCUCCCCAUCCGUGUUGUCCUGACACCUGUUGCUUCGGCGGGCCCGCCGUGGUUCACGCCCCGGCCGCCGGGGGGUUCACGCCCCCGGGCCCGCGCCCGCCGAAGACCCCUGGAACGCUGCCUGGAAGGUUGCCGUCUGAGUAUACAAUCAAUCAAUUAAAACUUUCAACAACGGAUCUCUUGGUUCCGGCAUCGAUGAAGAACGCAGCGAAAUGCGAUAAGUAAUGUGAAUUGCAGAAUUCCGUGAAUCAUCGAAUCUUUGAACGCACAUUGCGCCCCCUGGCAUUCCGGGGGGCAUGCCUGUCCGAGCGUCAUUGCUAACCCUCCAGCCCGGCUGGUGUGUUGGGCCGCCGUCCCCCCUCCCCGGGGGACGGGCCCGAAAGGCAGCGGCGGCGUCGCGUCCGGUCCUCGAGCGUAUGGGGCUCUGUCACACGCUUCAGUAGAACCGGCCGGCUUGCUGGCCAUCACCUAUAUUUUUCUCUUAGGUUGACCUCGGAUCAGGUAGGGAUACCCGCUGAACUUAAGCAUAUCAAUAGCCGGAGGAA
rnacentral:rRNA from 1 species